GUAAUGGCUAUGAAAAGGACAGUAGCAAGAGAUGAUGCAUCCAGAGAGAUAGUCGGUUGGUGAAAGACUAUCUGCAGAGCUCUUGGCGAAGAUCACCUUGGAGCCGGAUGCCUGAAAUUUAGUAGGGCAUUCCGCAGUAAUGCGUUAAAUUUACCGAGUGACAGUCUAUUGCAGACUGUAAUGAGGGUGGUACCGCGUGUCCAAACGUCCCUAUG
rnacentral:ncRNA from 1 species